rnacentral:rRNA from 1 species
GACGAACGCUGGCGGCGUGCUUAACACGUGCGAGUCGAACGCUGAAGACCUGGCUUUUGUUGGGUUGGAUGAGUGGCGAACGGGUGAGUAACACGUGAGUAACCUGCCCUCUUCUUUGGGAUAACGCCCGGAAACGGGUGCUAAUACUGGAUAUUCACUGAUCUUCGCAUGGGGGUUGGUGGAAAGGUUUGUUCUGGUGGGGGAUGGGCUCGCGGCCUAUCAGCUUGUUGGUGGGGUGAUGGCCUACCAAGGCUUUGACGGGUAGCCGGCCUGAGAGGGUGACCGGUCACAUUGGGACUGAGAUACGGCCCAGACUCCUACGGGAGGCAGCAGUGGGGAAUAUUGCACAAUGGGCGAAAGCCUGAUGCAGCGACGCCGCGUGAGGGAUGGAGGCCUUCGGGUUGUAAACCUCUUUCGCUCAUGGUCAAGCCGCAACUGUGGGUUGUGGUGAGGGUAGUGGGUAAAGAAGCGCCGGCUAACUACGUG